GAUGAACGCUAGCGGCAGGCUUAACACAUGCAAGUCGAGGGGCAGCAUGACACGGAGAUUCGUCGAAGUGUUGAUGGCGACCGGCGCAAGGGUGCGUCACGCGUGAGCAACUUGCCCGUUUCAGGGGGGUAACCGGUGGAAACGCCGACUAAUACCCCAUGGUAUGUUUUUAAGGCAUCUUUUAAACAUUAAAGAAUUUCGGAAACGGAUAGGCUCGCGUGACAUUAGCUAGAUGGCGGGGUAACGGCCCACGAUGGCGACGAUGUCUAGGGGUUCUGAGAGGAAGGUCCCCCACACUGGAACUGAGACACGGUCCAGACUCCUACGGGAGGCAGCAGUGAGGAAUGUUGGUCAAUGGUCGAGAGACUGAACCAGCCAUGCCGCGUGAAGGUGACGGCCCUAUGGGUCUUAAACUUCUUUUGUAAGGGGGCAAUAAGGUCUACGUGUAGACUGAUGAGAGUACCUUACGAAUAAGCAUCGGCUAACUCCGUGCCAGCCGCCGCAGUAAUAC
rnacentral:rRNA from 1 species